UACGAAGGGUGCAAGCGUUACUCGGAAUUACUGGGCGUAAAGCGUGCGUAGGUGGUUUGUUAAGUCUGUUGUGAAAGCCCCGGGCUCAACCUGGGAAUGGCAAUGGAUACUGGCAAGCUAGAGUGCGGUAGAGGGUAGUGGAAUUCCCGGUGUAGAGGUGAAAUUCGUAGAUAUCGGGAGGAACACCAGUGGCGAAGGCGGCGAUCUGGGCAGAUACUGACGCUGAGGUGCGAAAGCGUGGGGAGCAAACAGG
rnacentral:rRNA from 1 species